AUUGAACGCUGGCGGCAGGCCUAACACAUGCAAGUCGAGCGGCAGCGGGAAAGUAGCUUGCUACUUUUGCCGGCGAGCGGCGGACGGGUGAGUAAUGCCUGGGAAAUUGCCCAGUCGAGGGGGAUAACAGUUGGAAACGACUGCUAAUACCGCAUACGCCCGACGGGGGAAAGCAGGGGACCUUCGGGCCUUGCGCGCUUGGAUAUGCCCGGGUGGGAUUAGCUAGUUGGUGAGGUAAUGGCUCACCAAGGCGACGAUCCCUAGCUGGUCUGAGAGGAUGAUCAGCCACACUGGAACUGAGACACGGUCCAGACUCCUACGGGAGGCAGCAGUGGGGAAUAUUGCACAAUGGGGGAAACCCUGAUGCAGCCAUGCCGCGUGUGUGAAGAAGGCCUUCGGGUUGUAAAGCACUUUCAGCGAGGAGGAAAGGUUGUUGGCUAAUAUCCAACAGCUGUGACGUUACUCGCAGAAGAAGCACCGGCUAACUCCGUGCCAGCCGCCGCGGUAACAC
rnacentral:rRNA from 1 species